GACGAACGCUGGCGGCGUGCCUAAUACAUGCAAGUAGAACGCUGAAGAGAGGAGCUUGCUCUUCUUGGAUGAGUUGCGAACGGGUGAGUAACGCGUAGGUAACCUGCCUUGUAGCGGGGGAUAACUAUUGGAAACGAUAGCUAAUACCGCAUAACAAUGGAUGACACAUGUCAUUUAUUUGAAAGGGGCAAUUGCUCCACUACAAGAUGGACCUGCGUUGUAUUAGCUAGUAGGUGAGGUAACGGCUCACCUAGGCGACGAUACAUAGCCGACCUGAGAGGGUGAUCGGCCACACUGGGACUGAGACACGGCCCAGACUCCUACGGGAGGCAGCAGUAGGGAAUCUUCGGCAAUGGGGGCAACCCUGACCGAGCAACGCCGCGUGAGUGAAGAAGGUUUUCGGAUCGUAAAGCUCUGUUGUAAGUCAAGAACGAGUGUGAGAGUGGAAAGUUCACACUGUGACGGUAGCUUACCAGAAAGGGACGGCUAACUACGUGCCAGCAGCCGCGGUAAUACGUAGGUCCCGAGCGUUGUCCGGAUUUAUUGGGCGUAAAGCGAGCGCAGGCGGUUAGAAAAGUCUGAAGUGAAAGGCAGUGGCUCAACCAUUGUAGGCUUUGGAAACUGUUUAACUUGAGUGCAGAAGGGGAGAGUGGAAUUCCAUGUGUAGCGGUGAAAUGCGUAGAUAUAUGGAGGAACACCGGUGGCGAAAGCGGCUCUCUGGUCUGUAACUGACGCUGAGGCUCGAAAGCGUGGGGAGCGAACAGG
rnacentral:rRNA from 1 species